AUUGAACGCUGGCGGCAGGCCUAACACAUGCAAGUCGAGCGAGCGGCGGACGGGUGAGUAAUGUCUGGGAAACUGCCUGAUGGAGGGGGAUAACUACUGGAAACGGUAGCUAAUACCGCAUACCAUCAGAUGUGCCCAGAUGGGAUUAGCUAGUAGUUGGGGUACCGGCUCCCCUAGGCGACGAGCCCUAGCUGGUCUGAGAGGAUGACCAGACACACUGGAACUGAGACACGGUCCAGACGCAUACGUGAGGCAGCAGUGGGGAAUAGUGCACAAUGGGCGCAAGCCUGAUGCAGCCAUGCCGGGUGUGUGAAGAAGGCCUUCGGGGUGUAAAGCACUUUCAGCGGGGAGGCGUUACCCGCAGAAGAAGCACCGGCUAACUCCGUGCCAGCAGCCGCGGUAAUUC
rnacentral:rRNA from 1 species